UGAUAUCAUGUCGUGUAUAAGUAAUAAUAGUAAUAUUAUGCGACAAAGUAUCCACAUUUAUUUCCUGAAUAAUAUAUACCAAUAGAAAGUGUACAUGUGAAGGGAAAUAAAAAUAAAUGAAUCAAAUAAAUAAAU